UACGUAGGGGCAAGCGUUGUCCGGAAUCAUGGGCGUAAAGCGCGUGUAGGCGGACUGGAAGGUCUGGUGUGAAGCCCGGGCUCAACCCGGAGGUCACUGGAAACCGACAGUCUGAGUCCGGAAGAGGAGAGUGGAAUUCCGUGGUGUAGGCGGUGGAAUGCGCAGAUAUCAGGAGGAACACGAUGGCGAAGGCAGGUCUCUGGCCGCAACUGACG
rnacentral:rRNA from 1 species